UACGUAGGUGGCAAGCGUUGUCCGGAUUUAUUGGGUUUAAAGGGUGCGUAGGCGGCUUUGUAAGUCAGUGGUGAAAUAUGGCAGCUCAACUGUCAAGGUGCCAUUGAUACUGCAGAGCUUGAGUACAGAUGAGGUAGGCGGAAUUGACGGUGUAGCGGUGAAAUGCUUAGAUAUCGUCAAGAACACCUAUAGCGAAGGCAGCUUACUAGGCUGUAACUGACGCUGAGGCACGAAAGUGUGGGGAUUAAACAGG
rnacentral:rRNA from 1 species